rnacentral:rRNA from 1 species
GAGUUUGAUCCUGGCUCAGAUUGAACGCUGGCGGAAUGCUUUACACAUGCAAGUCGAGCGGCAGCGCGGGGCAACCUGGCGGCGAGCGGCGAACGGGUGAGUAAUGCAUCGGAACAUGUCCAUGGAUGGGGGAUAGCCCGGCGAAAGCCGGAUUAAUACCGCAUGAGCCCGAGAGGGGAAAGUGGGGGACCGCAAGGCCUCACGUCGAUGGGUUGGCCGAUGCCCGAUUAGCUAGUUGGUGAGGUAAUGGCUCACCAAGGCGAUGAUCGGUAGCUGGUCUGAGAGGAUGAUCAGCCACACUGGGACUGAGACACGGCCCAGACUCCUACGGGAGGCAGCAGUGGGGAAUUUUGGACAAUGGGGGCAACCCUGAUCCAGCCAUUCCGCGUGAGUGAAGAAGGCC